UACGUAGGGGGCAAGCGUUGUCCGGAUUUAUUGGGCGUAAAGAGCGUGUAGGCGGCCAAACAGGUCCGUUGUGAAAACUGGAGGCUCAACCUCCAGACGUCGACGGAAACCGUAUGGCUAGAGUCCGGAAGAGGAGAGUGGAAUUCCUGGUGUAGCGGUGAAAUGCGCAGAUAUCAGGAAGAACACCAAUGGCGAAGGCAGCUCUCUGGGACGGUACUGACGCUGAGACGCGAAAGCGUGGGGAGCGAACAGG
rnacentral:rRNA from 1 species